UCCAGACUCCUACGGGAGGCAGCAGUGGGGAAUAUUGGGCAAUGGGCGCAAGCCUGACCCAGCAACGCCGCGUGAAGGAAGAAGGCUUUCGGGUUGUAAACUUCUUUUGUCAGGGACGAAGCAAGUGACGGUACCUGACGAAUAAGCCACGGCUAACUACGUGCCAGCAGCCGCGGUAAUACGUAGGGGGCAAGCGUUAUCCGGAUUUACUGGGUGUAAAGGGAGCGUAGACGGCGACGCAAGUCUGGAGUGAAAGCCCGUGGCUUAACUACGGGACUGCUCUGGAAACUGUGCAGCUAGAGUGCAGGAGAGGCAGGCGGAAUUCCUAGUGUAGCGGUGAAAUGCGUAGAUAUUAGGAGGAACACCGGUGGCGAAGGCGGCCUGCUGGACUGUAACUGACGUUGAGGCUCGAAAGCGUGGGGAGCAAACAGGAUUAGAUACCCCUGUACU
rnacentral:rRNA from 1 species